GGGCCUGUGGUGCAAUGGUAGCACGCUGGGCAGCCUGCAUUAUCAGUUGCGGCGUCACGUCUCGUACCAGUCGUGCGAGAGUGUUCAUUACAGAGAUACGAGUUCGAAUCCCGCCAGGUCCA